AAAGAUAUUGGAUUCCUGUCUCAUUACAUAUGCUAAGCAUCUGCAUACUAUCCCUUGCUUUUUCCUUUAGGACUAAUUGCAGUCGUUACCAGUUGUCAACAGGUUUACCAUACCCAUUGAGUCAAUCACCCAUCUCCUACUACCCUCCUGAGAAAACCCCCACCCCACUCUCCCAGUAUACAUAAGGGUCUGGUGACUUCUGUUUCAGUGUAUCUGAAGAAGUGUGCAUGCACACGAAAGCUCAUACCAAGAACAAACUUAGUUGGUCUCUAAGGUGUUACUGGACAAUUUUUUUUAUUUUUAUAUAUAUUUCGACUGCAUCAGACCAACACGGCUACCUACCUGAAUCUAGCGUUUCAAUCAUUGUUCACAUGCAAUGUGCAGCAUGUACUUUGAGGGAUGAAGGCCAACAGUGCAUGUUAUGGCUCCACAUUCACUCGUAGUUGAUGGCUUACUGUUAACUCGCAGAAGGCUCAGACAUCCCUGCUUGGCAGGGGGUUGGACUCGAUGGCCCUUGUAGUCUCUUCCAACUCUAUGAUUCUAUGAUUCUAUCCCUCCUCCCCUCUCGGCCUAUGAUUGGAACAAAAGGUGAUUAGCAUCACAUCCAAACCAUAGGUUGUGGUUCAUUCUUGGCUUGCGAUUGUGGUUUUGCUCAGUCUGCAUUUCAGCCCUAACACUGAACUAGGGAGUGUGCUUGGUUGCUCCCACUCAAACUAGGUGGUUGAGUGAAAGAGCAGAGAUCUCUCCAUUCAUUGUAAACCAUUAUGGUUUAACAUGCUGUGUAAACUGGCUCAUUCCAUCAUUGUCAGUUAGUAACCUCCAAUCUUUGAGCAUGUAGGCACCAGGAACCUGGAUUAAGGGGGUCACUCCUGUUAGCACCCUGUGAGUUUUCUUUCAGCCCUGCGUUACAACAAUCUAGAGUGUAUAUUUUCAGUAGUUUGUGAGGUACUGGUGAUGUGCGUGUGGUCCCAGAACUGCUAAAAACAGUUGUGGUUCAUUAUUGGCAGGGAAGCAAAGGGUGGGUUUCUCCCCUAGGACUCCGGCCUCCCCAUUUUAGUCUGCAAUAACCCAAGAUAAGGCGGGGUAGGGAGAAAGAGAGAUUUGUCUUUCCCCUCACAUACUAAUGCUGGCCAAAAGCCGACACAGGCCUCUUUAAUGAUCACACUCUUCUUUCUUGCUGUGCUAUUGUCUUUCCUCAAGAGGCAUCUCUGUAAAAGAUUCCAUCUGUGCACUACCUACAAACAUCAAGGAAAGAAAGAGAGGCAAUAGCUGCUUCAUGUUUAUGGAAUUUCCUACCCCACCCCCUGAAGGCUUGUCAGAAAUCUGCCGAGAACAUUUUUGGAACCGUGAAGCAAUCCUGCCAAAGUAAGGUGUGGCUAAAGUGGAGAUUUAACUGUCUUGUGUUUUCAUUCUGAUGGUUCCAAUGGGACUGAGGCACACCUAGUGUACUCUGGAUUUCAUCCACUGUAUGUGCACACUUUGGGCUUUGGCAAGAGAGAGAUGUGUGCAUUGCAGUUUGCUUUAUUUGUUAAUUCUUGCUAUAACUACAAGUGAGGAAUUAAUCUGAUUUCUCCAAAAUUAUAUGUAUAAAACGAUGAGCAGUCAGAAUGGCUUGGCACCAGCCAAUUUGCCUGCCCUGGCUGAUAUUCUAAAUAGUUUUUCGUAUGAGCAUCUAACUACAAAACUCCAUGGAACAGGCUUCUUCCAUGACUUGCUCUUCACACCAGUAUGAACAAUGCCUCAGAUAAGAGAAUCUUCAAUCUAAGUGCUGCAACUUUCCUUAUAGUAUUGCAUCUAUUAUUAGGCUUUAGCAUUUAUGCCCUGUUAGAAUUAUUGCCCAGCUCAUUCUGAAUGCAGAACAAUUCCAUUAAGACAAUCUUGCAAUGCAUCCAAAAAGUGCUCAGGCUUGGACUUCUGGGAGUCUUCAGGUAGGAGCUGUGGAUCUGGGAGAAGGGUCAGCUACUAAAAAAAAGAAGUGAGGAUGCUUUUCUAGACAGUUUGAACCUGGUGUUUCUCUCAAAGACCACAAGCCUUGAAUUUGGAUCCAGAAGGUAAUGAGUACACAAUGUAGAAGACUCUAAAUGUUCUGGUGACUGAUGCAAUGCAUUCUGCACUAGUUGACAUGCCUGAAUCUUCCCUGAAGGCAAACCGGUAAGUCUCUUUUAGUCCAUUGAUGUACGCUUGCUAGGUUCCUGAUAAAAGGAAGUGCAGCUCUUAUUGGAUAGCAUUGGAGGGAGGUGGUCUUGGCCACUGUUACCGUCUGGGCACUUCUAAGACUACAGUUCUGAGUGAUGAGAAUGUGACAUCCGGCCCCUCAAAUCUUUGUUGAGAGCUCAUGCAUGACCAUUUCAUCAGUCUGGUCAAAUUCAGUUUUCAGUUGCCCUCAUAUCACAGCACCCUCACAGCAAGCCGCUAUGCUUAUAGUAACCAUGACAUUUGUUUAUUAAUGUGAACUAGACUCUAGGCUCAUGAGAAAUGCUUGCGUCUCUUUAUAUGGAAAUACAGUAACACUAAAGGCUUUCAGCUCCUGCAUGUAGAUUUGAGUCAACUGUGAUGCUUAUUUAUACAGGCCAUGAAGGUGUAAGUUACCUUCCAAACGUCCAGGAGCAUGAGGAAUAAUUUAUAAAUAGUGAUUUGUACUCAGAUUUCAGAAAUAUGUUAAAUAUGUUUAUAUGCUUUUAAUAACCAUCACAAGUUUUCCAAUCUUUUACUUCUGCCUCACCUAAUUUUGAUGUGAUAAUACCAGACACACUUUCCUAUUACUAUUGUAGAUAACAUUAGCCAGAUCUCUUGGUACAUAAGGGGUGGGAAGAAAGAGGAGUCUUGAUUGCCAGACUGGACUAGAGGGUGGGUAGGAUGGAGGAGCCAGUAUAUUUUUGUAUAUUUGUAGUGGCAAUUUUGUAGUGAUAUGUUCUGGUUUUGAGCAGCAGCAACUAAAACAUUUGAAGAGACUUUAUGUUAACACUUAACUACGGUUCAAUUGCACAAUCAAUAGUUCAAUCUAAGUAGCUGAAGACUCUGAAUGAGGAGCAGCCACUGAUUUGAUAAAUAAGUACAUAAGGUGCACAAUGCAGCUUUAUGCACAUCUACAUCAAAAUAUGUAAGCAGGUCAAUUGCUGCAUCCCACAGCAAAUCUGCAUUUGUUCUGAGAAACUGUACCACAAAAUUUCCUUUAUUAAAAGUUGUUUGACACUC
rnacentral:lncRNA from 1 species